GUUGGCAGUACCCCGGUAACAAAGGAGGUAACCAAGCCAUGAACGAUAGAUCAAAAUAAAGCUGAGACCAUGCAGUGCGGUCCGGCCCUCUCACCCAUUUCACAGGUGAAGAAAUCAAGUCCCCAGGUGAAAGUGCUUUGAUUAUACGAAUUGUUCAGAACUGGAAGAGACUGGGAACAAUAUGAAUGCCCAUCGACAGGGGACCUGUUAAAUACACCGUGAAAGAGCCAUGCAAUGGAGAACCAGCCAGAGGAAGAAAUGACCGAGAAACCACGAAAGGGAGGAAAAGCCCCAGUCAGUCAACGAAGUUGCCCAGAGCCACCUGGUAAAUGAGGCUGGUGGAAGACAUCCUGUCACUCAAGAGUCACAGCGCACACCAAGGGGCAAGGAAAAAGCACCAUGCUAUUCAUCCUGUCUACUCAGAGCCUGGCCUGCACAGGGGGGCCAAUCUCCCCUCACAGCCUAUUCAUCCUGUUGUUUAUCUUGUCUACUAUACCAGUCAGAUAGGACUUUGGCG
rnacentral:lncRNA from 1 species